rnacentral:rRNA from 1 species
UUAGUGGCGGACGGGUGAGUAACACGUGGGAACGUGCCUUUAGGUUCGGAAUAGCUCCUGGAAACGGGUGGUAAUGCCGAAUGUGCCCUUCGGGGGAAAGAUUUAUCGCCUUUAGAGCGGCCCGCGUCUGAUUAGCUUGUUGGUGAGGUAAUGGCUCACCAAGGCUACGAUCAGUAGCUGGUCUGAGAGGAUGACCAGCCACAUUGGGACUGAGACACGGCCCAGACUCCUACGGGAGGCAGCAGUGGGGAAUAUUGGACAAUGGGCGAAAGCCUGAUCCAGCAAUGCCGCGUGAGUGAUGAAGGCCUUAGGGUUGUAAAGCUCUUUUACCAGGGAUGAUAAUGACAGUACCUGGAGAAUAAGCUCCGGCUAACUCCGUGCCAGCAGCCGCGGUAAUACGGAGGGAGCUAGCGUUGUUCGGAAUUACUGGGCGUAAAGCGUACGUAGGCGGUUAUUCAAGUCAGAGGUGAGAGCCUGGAGCUCAACUCCAGA